GACGAACGCUGGCGGCGUGCCUAAUACAUGCAAGUAGAACGCUGAAGGAGGAGCUUGCUUCUCUGGAUGAGUUGCGAACGGGUGAGUAACGCGUAGGUAACCUGCCUGGUAGCGGGGGAUAACUAUUGGAAACGAUAGCUAAUACCGCAUAAUAGCAGUUGUUGCAUGACAACUGUUUGAAAGGUGCAAUUGCACCACCACCAGAUGGACCUGCGUUGUAUUAGCCAGUUGGUGGGGUAACGGCUCACCAAGGUGACGAUACAUAGCCGACCUGAGAGGGUGAUCGGCCACACUGGGACUGAGACACGGCCCAGACUCCUACGGGAGGCAGCAGUAGGGAAUCUUCGGCAAUGGACGGAAGUCUGACCGAGCAACGCCGCGUGAGUGAAGAAGGGUUUCGGAUCGUAAAGCUCUGUUGUAAGAGAAGAACGAGUGUGAGAGUGGAAAGUUCACACUGUGACGGUAUCUUACCAGAAAGGGACGGCUAACUACGUG
rnacentral:rRNA from 1 species